rnacentral:lncRNA from 1 species
UGUGUAUAAAAACAGUGAGAAAGCGAGUAAGACUGGUUCCUGCAUUUUCAGUUUCUGCCGAUCUACAAUGUAUCACAUUCACUUUGGGACAGUUAAUUUACUUCAGUACUAUUCUGACCAAAUACACACGUGUGAGGUUGACUACGAAAUUCGAUUGUAUGUUCUGCUGAUGAAGGAAAAGUUAUUAAACUAAUCCAGAAAUUUAUCAAUCCAGAACUAUGUGAAUUAUUUUAUGAAUUUUGGUCGGUCCACUUUGCCUGCUUUCAACCCGUGUAUUUUUGAAGUGAAACUUAUAGUGUCUGGACACAUUUGGCGUCUAAGUCAAGCAUAUAGAAUAGCCCACAUUAUACGAAGUUAUACGAAGCACACAUUAUACGAAGACAAAUACCUUUGGCAAAAAUCUAAACGGCCGGCAAAUUAACCAGGGCAGUGUGUCUUUUAUUCAUCGUAAUAAAGAUUUUAUGCCAUAAAUGAGAUGAAAUUGGUUGUGAUGAAAUGAAUGUCACAGUGAAUAGCUGAAUUAUUUCAAUGCGGAUUCGAGAGUUGACCUUGAAAAUUGAGAAGAUGCAUCACUUUUGAUGCAGACUAUGAAGGAUACCAAGUUCUAUAGAAGAAGGGUUA